GAUGAACGCUGGCGGCGUGCCUAACACAUGCAAGUCGAGCGAACAGAUGAGGAGUUUGCUCCUCUGACGUUAGCGGCGGACGGGUGAGUAACACGUGGAUAACCUACCUAUAAGACUGGGAUAACUUCGGGAAAGCGGAGCUAACACCGGAUAAUAUAUUGAACCGCAUGGUUCAAUAGUGAAAGACGGUUUUGCUGUCACUUAUAGAUGGAUCCGCGCCGCAUUAGCUAGUUGGUAAGGUAACGGCUUACCAAGGCAACGAUGCGUAGCCGACCUGAGAGGGUGAUCGGCCACACUGGAACUGAGACACGGUCCAGACUCCUACGGGAGGCAGCAGUAGGGAAUCUUCCGCAAUGGGCGAAAGCCUGACGGAGCAACGCCGCGUGAGUGAUGAAGGUCUUCGGAUCGUAAAGCUCUGUUAUUAGGGAAGAACAAAUGUGUAAGUAACUAUGCACGUCUUGACGGUACCUAAACAGAAAGCCACGGCUAACUACGUG
rnacentral:rRNA from 1 species